GUCCCUUGAAGAUAUCUCCCAGUGAUCCUGGGGAUGAACACCAGGCAGCUUUCCAAAUAAUAGGGUUUUGUUUUUUUUUUUUCUGCCAUCUUGUAAACCUUCUUGGACCAACAACCAGCCCAGCUACAGCAGAUCAGCAAGAGAAUCAGGCUGUCUGGUUUGGAAAAUAAAUUUUGACACUGCUCUGUCCUCCCUGUCCUGUAACAGGCCAACCUCCCGAAGAUGCAUAAAGACACCUUUGCCGUUGACCAGGCAGACCCUGCAUCCACAGGACAUAGAGAGAAAGGUGCUCCCUGAACACUGAUCUGGAUAAGCAUUGCUGGGUCAGUGCAGAGGCGUCCAUUUCCCCAGUCUGCCGAGCUGGCCUAAAGCUGAGGACCUCUUAGUGGGAGCUGAGGACAUGUGCCUGAAGAGGCAAGCCCUUGACUGAUGGAAAUUGGAGUCUGAGUUCCAUGUGGGGGACUGGGAAGCACAGCAAGGUCUGAAAUGGGAGACCCAGGGAAGGGCAGAGAGGACCAAAGGAGGAAGGGGGUCUACAGUGUGGGAAACAGCCUGGACGCAACAGCCGGGGGAGGAGGCCUGCUCUGGCCCCAGUGGCCCCUUGUAAGCAGGAAAGGCAGCUGGCUAGACCUCUUCUGUGUUAUUCACUCUGAUUUUAUCCUUUAUCUUCCCCUCCCAACCUCACCUCCUUUCUAACCCCAAAGCCAUGCAGCUAAUAUGACUAAGAUUGCUGGGCGUUUGCUUGGAAAUGCAAAUGAGAAUUUCUGGUAGUUUCCUAGUUUCCUUGAUCUCCUUUGUCAAGUUUAUUGAGGGGAAAGGACUCUCGGUUAAAAAAAAAAAAAAAAGAAAAUCCAGAUUUUGAACACCAGCUCUCUUUAAUGCCAACUUCCUGAGGAGCUGCCCAGCUCUGUAACAACCUGGAACAGAGGCGCCAUCACAGACUUGGCUCUGACGGGCGGCACAGCAAGAAGCCUUGCUCGCGUGUGGGACGUGCCCGUUCUGGCCUGGAGAGAGGGCCCAGAGACACCACCUCGCCACCGCCACCUGAUUACUCAUUGUCACCAAUGAGAUGACAAGAACUGAUGACGCAUUUCCCUUUUGCUGCACUCUGACACCUCAGAGACCACAGCAGAGAAAAAGCUGCUUUUGUAAAACUGGAACAUGAACUACGCGGACGCCCCAGAGGAGGUCUCUGCUGCCCUCUGUUGCUGGCUUCUUAGUAACCCUAACCAUUUUUAAGAAUACAGUAUUUGGUUUCAGUAACUUUAUUACAUGAAAAGUAUGCUCGGAGGAAAAAA
ensembl:lncRNA LINC01792 long intergenic non-protein coding RNA 1792